rnacentral:rRNA from 1 species
GACUCGUCACACUAUCAUUAACUGAAUCCAUAGGUUAAUGAGGCGAACCGGGGGAACUGAAACAUCUAAGUACCCCGAGGAAAAGAAAUCAACCGAGAUUCCCCCAGUAGCGGCGAGCGAACGGGGAGGAGCCCAGAGCCUGAAUCAGCAUGUGUGUUAGUGGAAGCGUCUGGAAAGGCGCGCGAUACAGGGUGACAGCCCCGUACACAAAAGCGCAUGUGCUGUGAGCUCGAUGAGUAGGGCGGGACACGUGGUAUCCUGUCUGAAUAUGGGGGGACCAUCCUCCAAGGCUAAAUACUCCUGACUGACCGAUAGUGAACCAGUACCGUGAGGGAAAGGCGAAAAGAACCCCGGCGAGGGGAGUGAAAAAGAACCUGAAACCGUGUACGUACAAGCAGU